UGUGUGUGUGUGUGUGUGUGUGUGUAUACAUACAUAUAUACAUAUAUUAUAUAUGUGUGUGUAUAUAUACAUACACACACACACAUAUAUA
rnacentral:pre_miRNA from 1 species